CAAAAUUUUCCAACUCGGGAAAAGAAAAGAGAUGCAAAUGAGGACAAGUGCUUUUUCGGGCCGUGAAGUGAAGUACAAUCCUGCUGAGAUCAUUUUCGACG
rnacentral:ribozyme from 1 species